rnacentral:rRNA from 1 species
GCCUACGGGUGGCUGCAGUUAGGAAUCUUCCGCAAUGGGCGAAAGCCUGACGGAGCGAUACCGCUUGAAGGACGAAGCCCUUCGGGGUGUAAACUUCUGAACUCGGGACGAUAAUGACGGUACCGAGGUAAUAGCACCGGCUAACUCCGUGCCAGCAGCCGCGGUAAUACGGAGGGUGCGAGCGUUACCCGGAUUUACUGGGUGUAAAGGGCGUGUAGGCGGUCUAUCAAGUCCGAUGAUAAAGACCGAAGCUCAACUUCGGGGGUGCGUUGGAUACUGGGAGGCUAGACGGUCGGAGAGGGUAGCGGAAUUUCCGGAGUAGCGGUGAAAUGCGCAGAUACCGGAAGGAACGCCAAUAGCGAAAGCAGCUACCUGGACGAUUUGUGACGCUGAGGCGCGAAAGCGUGGGGAGCAAACCGGAUUAGAUACCCUUGUAGUCG